AAUAGGGUGUAAACUGUCACCGCACAUCGCGAGGCAGACCUGCUUUUUGGGCUACGAUUUCUGUGCUACUUAGAGACCAUCAUGCGUUUGAAAAGGUGUUGAGGGAAAGCUAAGAGAAUGAAGGCUCUAAAUCCCCAGUGGAAGCAUGAUAUGGCGAUGCAGUGCUGGUGCUGAAUUGCUCUCUCUGAUGGCUCUAUGGGAGUGGAUAGCACUGAGUCUUCAUUGCUGGGUUUUAGCAGUUGCUGCUGUCUCGGAUCAGCAUGCCACAAGCCCCUUCGACUGGCUCCUCUCUGAUAAGGGACCCUUCCAUCGCUCACAGGAAUACACAGAUUUUGUGGACAGAAGUCGACAGGGAUUUAGCACAAGAUACAAGAUUUACAGAGAGUUUGGCCGCUGGAAAGUAAACAAUCUUGCUGUGGAAAGAAGAAAUUUCCUUGGCUCCCCACUGCCACUCGCCCCAGAAUUYUUCCGCAACAUAAGGCUACUGGGAMGGCGCCCGACRCUUCAGCAGAUCACAGAAAACCUGAUCAAGAAAUAUGGGACACA